CGCGCAGCCCUGUCCGCCGCUGGGAAGGCGGGGCUUCCUGCUGUGUGCACCCAGUGCCUCUGUGCGUCCAGUUGCUGCGACCGGCCCAGGGAAGCGCGCCGUGGAGACUCUUUUCCCGGACGAGGCCAUCCUCCUUCGUGGGCUUCCGAGCGAGACUUAUCCAUGCCGAACUCGAGGCCCAGGCCCCGCCGGGGCGCCGGGGGUGGCGCAGGUGCGGCCGGCCGGGACCGGCUGGUGGCACGGUCCUUGCAGAGUGCUGAGCACUGUCUAGGUGACCAGGACUUCGGCACUGCUUAUGCCCAUUACCUUCUGGUGCUCAGCCUGGCGCCAGAGCUAAAAGACGACGUGAAGGAAACUUUUCAGUAUACACUUUUCAAGUGGGCUGAAGAGCUUCAUGCACUGAGCCGAAUACAAGACUUACUUGGUUGCUAUGAGCAGGCCUUGGAGCUGUUUCCUGAUGAUGAAGUGAUUUGCAACAGUAUGGGAGAGCACCUCUUCAGAAUGGGCUUUCGAGAUGAGGCAGCUGGCUAUUUUCACAAAGCAGUGAAGCUAAACCCUGAUUUCAAUGAUGCAAAGGAGAACUUUUACCGCGUAGCAAACUGGCUGGUGGAGCGCUGGCACUUCAUCAUGCUUAAUGACACCAGGAGAAACAUGGUUUAUAAUGCAGCAAUCCAGAAGGCAGUGUGCCUGGGCUCCAGAACCGUUCUGGAUAUCGGCACGGGGACUGGAAUACUGAGCAUGUUUGCUAAAAAAGCUGGCGCACAAUCAGUAUAUGCCUGUGAAUUAUCCAAGACCAUGUAUGAACUCGCCUGUGAUGUAGUGGCUGCAAACAAGAUGGAAAAUGGGAUAAAGCUUCUACAUAUGAAGUCACUUGAUAUAGAAAUUCCGAAGCACAUUCCUGAAAGAGUGUCCCUAGUUGUAACAGAAACUGUCGAUGCAGGUGUAUUUGGAGAAGGAAUUGUGGAGAGUUUAAUUCAUGCAUGGGAACAUUUACUUCUGCAACCAAAGACCAAAGAAGAAAAUGGAAAUUGCGGGAAGUAUGGGAAAGUGAUACCAGCCGGUGCUGUUAUAUUUGGGAUGGCAGUCGAGUGUGCAGAGAUACGAAGGCAUCAUAGGGUUGGUGCUAAGGACAUUGCUGGUAUACAUUUACCAACAAAUGUGAAAUUUCAGAGCCCAGCCUAUACUUCUGUUGAUACAGAAGAAACAGUUGAACCCUACACAACUGAAAAGAUGAGUGGCAUCCCCGGAGGAUACCUGCCUUUGACGGAGUGCUUUCAGAUUAUGAAAGUUGAUUUCAAUAAUCUUCAGGAAUUAAAAAGUCUUGCAACUAAGAAGCCACACUCUCUUAAUGUUCCUGCUAUUAAAGAAGGCGUGCUAGAUGCUAUUAUGGUUUGGUUUGUUCUCCAGCUUGAUGAUGAAUACAGCUUGUCCACAAGUCCUAGUGAGGAAACCUGUUGGGAACAGGCUGUUUAUCCAGUACAGGCCCUUGAAGACAUGCCUCCUUUAUCCCCAGGUCUUCCUCAGUUUGUCAGCACAUCUCCUGAUUGCAGUGAAAACAGUAUAAACCUGGGCAUGGUAAUACAUGUCUGUAAUCCCAACACUUAGGAUGUAGAGGGAGGAGAACCAGGAGUUUCAGGCCAGCUUCAGCCACAUGGCAAGUUCAAGGUACAGCCACCUGCAGCAAGAGAUGCCAACACCAUGGCAUAACUUCCAAGAACAGCAGCAGCCGUGUAUUGUCCUGGUCUCAGUUUAAGCUGAUAAAGGGUCAUUUGUGAUGGGUAGUUUUAUGUCAGCUUGGCAUAAGCUAAAGUCAUCUAAGAGGAGGAAACCUCAAUGAAGAAAAUGUCUUUAUAAGAUGGAACUGUAGACUACUGCAUACAGCCUGGUGACCGAGUGACAAUGGAGGCAUCUUGUCACGAUUGUUACCUAAGAAUCCAGGGGAUCAGUAUCUUGCAUUUGGAACAUGAAAUGGAAGUUAUGAAAGGUUUUACCAAGAGUAAAGACUUGCUUUCUCUAGGAAAUGAAGCUGAACUCUGUAGUGCUCUGGCUAACCUUCAGACCAGUAGACCAGAAGCCCUGGAGCAGACUUGUAUGUUAGAGCCCACAGAGAUUGCUUUGCUUAAUAACAUUCCGUAUCAUGAAGGCUUUAAGACAGCGAUGAGGAAGGUGUUGUCUUCACUGGCCCCAGAGCUGCUGUGGCAGCCCAUGGAUACUCACUGUCAGUACAUGGAGAUGAACUCUGGGAGUGGACAGAGUGAUGCUGCACCAAGCACCGCUGACCCUUUCUAUGUGCUCGAUGUGUCUGAAGGCUUCUCUCUUUUGCCUAUACUUGCCGGAACACUUGGUCAUGUUAAACCCUACAGUUCAGUGGAGAAAGACCAGCAUUGUAUCGCUUUGGACCUCAUAGCUGAAGCCAACCACUUCCCUAAGGAAACACUUGAGUUUUGGCUGCGACAUAUAGAGGAUGAAGCUGCUGUGUUGCAAAGGCCCAAAUCAGACAAAUUGUGGAGCAUAAUUAUACUAGAUGUCAUUGAGCCAUCUGGGCUUAUCCAGCAGGAGCUGAUGGAAAAGGCUGCAAUAUCCAGAUGUUUAUUGCAGUCUGGAGGCAAGAUCUUCCCACAGUAUGUGCUGAUGUUUGGGAUGCUUGUGGAGUCCCAGACGCUGGUAGAAGAGAGUGCGGUUCAAGGGACAGAACAUACUCUUGGGCUAAACAUAGCACCUUUUAUUAACCAGUUUCAGGUGCCUAUCCGGGUAUGUCUGGAUUUAUCUUCUUUGCCAUGUGUCCCUUUAAGCCAACCAGUGGAGCUGUUGAGGUUGGAUCUGAUGACUCCAUAUUUGAACACUUCCAAUAAAGAAGUAAAGGUCCGUGUGUGCAGGUCUGGUCGAGUGACCGCUGUUCCAUUUUGGUUUCAUCUGUGCCUGGAUGACGAGGUGAGGCUGGACACCUCAGGUGAAGCCUCCCACUGGAAACAAGCUGCAGUUGUUCUGGAUAAUCCCAUCCAAGUACAAGCGGGAGAGGAGCUUGUGCUCAGCGUUGAGCAUCACAAAAGCAACGUCAGCAUCGCAGUGAAGCCGUGAGAUUGUCAUCGAACAAUGAAUGUGUGAAAAUCCCUGGAGUCAUCAAAAAUGUUUAAGGGUUGCAAUAAUAAAGCCCAUGUUAAAAGUC